rnacentral:rRNA from 1 species
AUGAACGCUAGCGACAGGCUUAACACAUGCAAGUCGAGGGGCAGCGGGGGUAGCAAUACCCGCCGGCGACCGGCGCACGGGUGAGUAACGCGUAUGCAACUUACCUAUCAGAGGGGGAUAACCCGGCGAAAGUCGGACUAAUACCGCAUGAAGCAGGGGCCCCGCAUGGGGAUAUUUGCUAAAGAUUCAUCGCUGAUAGAUAGGCAUGCGUUCCAUUAGGCAGUUGGCGGGGUAACGGCCCACCAAACCGACGAUGGAUAGGGGUUCUGAGAGGAAGGUCCCCCACAUUGGUACUGAGACACGGACCAAACUCCUACGGGAGGCAGCAGUGAGGAAUAUUGGUCAAUGGGCGCGAGCCUGAACCAGCCAAGUCGCGUGAGGGAUGAAGGUUCUAUGGAUCGUAAACCUCUUUUAUAAGGGAAUAAAGUGCGGGACGUGUCCUGUUUUGUAUGUACCUUAUGAAUAAGGAUCGGCUAACUCCGUGCCAGCAGCCGCGGUAAUACGGAGGAUCCGAGCGUUAUCCGGAUUUAUUGGGUUUAAAGGGUGCGUAGGCGGCCUUUUAAGUCAGCGGUGAAAGUCUGUGGCUCAACCAUAGAAUUGCCGUUGAAACUGGGGGGCUUGAGUAUGUUUGAGGCAGGCGGAAUGCGUGGUGUAGCGGUGAAAUGCUUAGAUAUCACGCAGAACCCCGAUUGCGAAGGCAGCCUGCCAAGCCAUGACUGACGCUGAUGCACGAAAGCGUGGGGAUCAAACAGGAUUAGAUACCCUGGUAGUCCACGCAGUAAACGAUGAUCACUAGCUGUUUGCGAUACACUGUAAGCGGCACAGCGAAAGCGUUAAGUGAUCCACCUGGGGAGUACGCCGGCAACGGUGAAACUCAAAGGAAUUGACGGGGGCCCGCACAAGCGGUGGAGCAUGUGGUUUAAUUCGAAGCAACGCGAAGAACCUUACCAGGUCUUGACAUCCUACUAACGAGAUAGAGAUAUGUUAGGUGCCCUUCGGGGAAAGUAGAGACAGGUGGUGCAUGGUUGUCGUCAGCUCGUGCCGUGAGGUGUCGGCUUAAGUGCCAUAACGAGCGCAACCCUUGCCACUAGUUACUAACAGGUGAUGCUGAGGACUCUGGUGGGACUGCCAGCGUAAGCUGCGAGGAAGGCGGGGAUGACGUCAAAUCAGCACGGCCCUUACAUCCGGGGCGACACACGUGUUACAAUGGCGUGGACAAAGGGAUGCCACCUGGCGACAGGGAGCGAAUCCCCAAACCACGUCUCAGUUCGGAUCGGAGUCUGCAACCCGACUCCGUGAAGCUGGAUUCGCUAGUAAUCGCGCAUCAGCCAUGGCGCGGUGAAUACGUUCCCGGGCCUUGUACACACCGCCCGUCAAGCCAUGGGAGCCGGGGGUACCUGAAGUCCGUAACCGCGAGGAUCGGCCUAGGGUAAAACUGGUGACUGGGGCU